AUUGAACGCUGGCAGCAUGCCUAACACAUGCAAGUCGGGCGAGUGGCGGACGGGUGAGUAAUGCAUCGGGAUGUGCCGGGUGGAGGGGGAUAACUAUCGGAAACGAUAGCUAAUACCGCAUACCAUCAGAUCAGCCCCUAUGGGAUUAGCUGGUAGGUGAGGUAAAGGCCCACCUGGGCGACGAUCACUAGCGGGUCUGAGAGGAUGAACGGCCACACGGGGACUGAGAAACGGCCCAGACUCCUACGGGAGGCAGCAGUGGGGAAUCAUGGACAAUGGGCGCAAGCCUGAUGCAGCCAUGCCGCGUGUCUGAAGAAGGCCUUCGGGUUGUAAAGUACGUUCAGUCGGGAGGCGUUACCAAAAGAAUAAGCACCGGCUAACUACGUGCCAGCAGCCGCGGUAAUUC
rnacentral:rRNA from 1 species